rnacentral:rRNA from 1 species
ACGUAGGGUGCAAGCGUUAAUCGGAAUUACUGGGCGUAAAGCGUGCGCAGGCGGUUAUGUAAGGCAGUUGUGAAAUCCCCGGGCUCAACCUGGGAACUGCAUCUGUGACUGCAUAGCUAGAGUACGGUAGAGGGGGAUGGAAUUCCGCGUGUAGCAGUGAAAUGCGUAGAUAUGCGGAGGAACACCGAUGGCGAAGGCAGCUCGCUGGGACGGUACUGACGCUGAGACGCGAAAGCGUGGGGAGCAAACAGGA